rnacentral:ribozyme from 1 species
GUUGUGCGCUUUGCAAACUCCACCAAGGGCAAGGCCAAGGGCGACGGCAAGG